rnacentral:lncRNA from 1 species
GUAACUAUUAGGAUGGAUUGGGAUUGGCCUAAGGCCCAAGCUUUUCUUUCUUUCAUUUUAGUUCUGUUUGUUUAUAUGUGCCUCUGUCCUCCUGCUUUUCUGCACCCACUGCUUGUCAUGGCUCUGCUGGUCACAGAGGAACUAAUUGGCCAUGGCAUUUCCUGCCUUAGUCAUCAGGCAUUUACUUCUUAGUCCUUCACAGCCUCCUGGCAGGAACUGGGAAGGUAAAUCUUCAAUUCUAAGCACCGCCCUGAGAACUCAUAGCUUAAAGUCUUGGAUACCAGGUGAUGAGACUCCCACUUCACCACUGGAUUCACCCAUUGGUGCUUUCAGAAUAUUUCCUUGCUAG